UACGUAGGGUGCAAGCGUUGUCCGGAAUUAUUGGGCGUAAAGAGCUCGUAGGCGGUCUGUCGCGUCGGCUGUGAAAACCCGAGGCUCAACCUCGGGCCUGCAGUCGAUACGGGCAAACUAGAGUACUGCAGGGGAGACUGGAAUUCCUGGUGUAGCGGUGAAAUGCGCAGAUAUCAGGAGGAACACCGGUGGCGAAAGGCGGGGUCUCUGGGCAGUAACUGACGCUGAGGAGCGAAAGCGUGGGGAGCGAACAGG
rnacentral:rRNA from 1 species